AGUGAACGCUGGCGGUAGGCCUAACACAUGCAAGUCGAACGGCAGCACAGUAAGAGCUUGCUCUUACGGGUGGCGAGUGGCGGACGGGUGAGGAAUACAUCGGAAUCUACUUUUUCGUGGGGGAUAACGUAGGGAAACUUACGCUAAUACCGCAUACGACCUACGGGUGAAAGCAGGGGAUCUUCGGACCUUGCGCGAUUGAAUGAGCCGAUGUCGGAUUAGCUAGUUGGCGGGGUAAAGGCCCACCAAGGCGACGAUCCGUAGCUGGUCUGAGAGGAUGGUCAGCCACACUGGAACUGAGACACGGUCCAGACUCCUACGGGAGGCAGCAGUGGGGAAUAUUGGACAAUGGGCGCAAGCCUGAUCCAGCCAUACCGCGUGGGUGAAGAAGGCCUUCGGGUUGUAAAGCACUUUUGUUGGGAAAGAAAAGCAGCAGGUUAAUACCCCGCUGUUCUGACGGUACCAAAAGAAUAAGCACCGGCUAACUUCGUG
rnacentral:rRNA from 1 species